rnacentral:rRNA from 1 species
CACUCUGGGACAAGCCCUGGAAACGGGGUCUAAUACCGGAUAUGACCGUCUGCCGCAUGGUGGAUGGUGUAAAGCUCCGGCGGUGCAGGAUGAGCCCGCGGCCUAUCAGCUUGUUGGUGAGGUAGUGGCUCACCAAGGCGACGACGGGUAGCCGGCCUGAGAGGGCGACCGGCCACACUGGGACUGAGACACGGCCCAGACUCCUACGGGAGGCAGCAGUGGGGAAUAUUGCACAAUGGGCGAAAGCCUGAUGCAGCGACGCCGCGUGAGGGAUGACGGCCUUCGGGUUGUAAACCUCUUUCAGCAGGGAAGAAGCGAAAGUGACGGUACCUGCAGAAGAAGCGCCGGCUAACUACGUGCCAGCAGCCGCGGUAAUACGUAGGGCGCAAGCGUUGUCCGGAAUUAUUGGGCGUAAAGAGCUCGUAGGCGGCUUGUCACGUCGGUUGUGAAAGCCCGGGGCUUAACCCCGGGUCUGCAGUCGAUACGGGCAGGCUAGAGUUCGGUAGGGGAGAUCGGAAUUCCUGGUGUAGCGGUGAAAUGCGCAGAUAUCAGGAGGAACACCGGUGGCGAAGGCGGAUCUCUGGGCCGAUACUGACGCUGAGGAGCGAAAGCGUGGGGAGCGAACAGGAUUAGAUACCCUGGUAGUCCACGCCGUAAACGGUGGGCACUAGGUGUGGGCAACAUUCCACGUUGUCCGUGC